UAUGACACUAUAUAAUUCUUAAGGUUUGCAAGGGAAAAAAAAUAAUAUUUCCAUGCAAAAAGUUGUUGUCCUAAGGUCGCAUGUCAUAGGUAAAUUUUGCGGUGAAGACAUAGAUGAUGUCUUGAAUUUUGGAGAAAUAGGAUCUCGAAGAAAAACGCACUUCUGCAAUAGUAUUAAUGUGGUAACACAUAUAUGUGGAAAAAAAAUUCACAUACUUAUGCAAAUGUAUGAAGACAUGAGGUCUUCAACUCAGAAUUUUACCCAUUGUGAAAUGGUGUAUAAGUAUGUUGUAUAUAUAAUUUGGGAUGAACUGGGGGUUAAACCGUAAAGUUUGGUUAACCUGAUGGCUGCACAGAAAACCUAACGAGUUAUAUGGAUCGUCACAUAACCUGAGGGUUAAAUUACAAAUUCGUCAAAGAGAUAAGAAAUUCCCAAUUUCUUUCUGUGUGGCUAGGGAUUAGACACCGCCACCGGCCGGAGGGCCUGCCGUGUCGGCCAUUGCUGUGCGCCGGAGGGCGCCGUUGGAGCGUGUCGUCUGCUGCGCGCCGGGAGACGCCGCGGCCGUGCCUGAGAGCCUGCUGCUGCGGGAGUGGCCAUGUCCGCUAGCAGCCACGCCGCAGGGUGCCGUGGGUCGCGUCGCCUCCUUGAUGCCGGAUGAAAGGGCUCGGGUGUCGCGUGCCAGUGCUGCGACGGAGGUCCUCUCCAGUCACCACGCCGCGCGCAGGCCGUCGUCUGGAGGACGGCGCAACAUCGCCGGCUGGGAAGGCGAGGCCGCGCCGGAGGACGGUGCUGUGUCUCGCAAGCCGUCGUCACAGGCUUCGAGGCUGCCGCUUGCGUCGUGCGCAGCAUCCCGUGGCCAAGCACAACGCCGGGGCCGAUGGUUGAUGUUCUUGUCGAUCGUGUUCGAGGCCUUUGGUACUUUAAUCCAUGUAUUCUUCUCCUAUGAACUCGGAUGGAAGUAAUUCUCGUGAGUGCAUACAUGUACACGAGAAAAAUUAUGGAUAGAUCGUUGAUUGAUGGGAAGAAGACAAAGCAAACGGAUAAA